rnacentral:rRNA from 1 species
CCUACGGGAGGCAGCAGUGGGGAAUUUUGGACAAUGGGCGAAAGCCUGAUCCAGCAAUGCCGCGUGAGUGAAGAAGGCCUUCGGGUUGUAAAGCUCUUUUGUCAGGGAAGAAACGGUGCGGGCUAAUAUCCUGCACUAAUGACGGUACCUGAAGAAUAAGCACCGGCUAACUACGUGCCAGCAGCCGCGGUAAUACGUAGGGUGCAAGCGUUAAUCGGAAUUACUGGGCGUAAAGCGUGCGCAGGCGGUUUUGUAAGUCUGUCGUGAAAUCCCCGGGCUCAACCUGGGAAUUGCGAUGGAGACUGCAAGGCUAGAAUCUGGCAGAGGGGGGUAGAAUUCCACGUGUAGCAGUGAAAUGCGUAGAGAUGUGGAGGAACACCGAGGGCGAAGGCAGCCCCCUGGGUCAAGAUUGACGCUCAUGCACGAAAGCGUGGGGAGCAAACAGGAUUAGAUACCCUGGUAGUCCACGCCCUAAACGAUGUCUACUAGUUGUCGGGUUUUAAUUAACUUGGUAACGCAGCUAACGCGUGAAGUAGACCGCCUGGGGAGUACGGUCGCAAGNUUAAAACUUAAAGAUAGNGACGNGNGAGAGCGACGACGACGACGAGGAGGAGGAG